rnacentral:rRNA from 1 species
UACAGAGGGUGCGAGCGUUAAUCGGAAUUACUGGGCGUAAAGGGUGCGUAGGCGGUAGAAUAAGUUAGAUGUGAAAUCCCCGGGCUUAACCUGGGAAUUACAUUUAAGACUGUUGUGCUAGAGUAGAGUAGAGGGAAGUGGAAUUUCCGGUGUAGCGGUGAAAUGCGUAGAUAUCGGAAAGAACAUCAGUGGCGAAGGCGGCUUCCUGGACUCAUACUGACGCUGAGGCACGAAAGCAUGGGGAGCAAACAGG